GACCUAAUGGCGAAACGGUAUCGCGUCCGCACUUCACCAUUCUGUUAUCGACUUUGCUGCGGAAGUCCCUGGUUCAACUCCAGGGUAGGUCA